rnacentral:rRNA from 1 species
GAUGAACGCUGGCGGCGUGCCUAAUACAUGCAAGUCGAGCGAACAGACGAGGAGCUUGCUCCUCUGACGUUAGCGGCGGACGGGUGAGUAACACGUGGAUAACCUACCUAUAAGACUGGGAUAACUUCGGGAAACCGGAGCUAAUACCGGAUAAUAUAUUGAACCGCAUGGUUCAAUAGUGAAAGACGGUUUUGCUGUCACUUAUAGAUGGAUCCGCGCCGCAUUAGCUAGUUGGUAAGGUAACGGCUUACCAAGGCAACGAUGCGUAGCCGACCUGAGAGGGUGAUCAGCCACACUGGAACUGAGACACGGUCCAGACUCCUACGGGAGGCAGCAGUAGGGAAUCUUCCGCAAUGGGCGAAAGCCUGACGGAGCAACGCCGCGUGAGUGUUGAAGGUCUUCGGAUCGUAAAACUCUGUUAUUAGGGAAGAACAACUGUGGAAGUAACUAUGCACGUCUUGACGGUACCUAAUGAGAAAGCCACGGCUAACUACGUG